rnacentral:rRNA from 1 species
GCUAAACGCGAAGAACCUUACCAAGGCUUGACAUGGAUUUCUAAGCACGUGAAAGCGUGUGACCCUUCGGGGGACUUCCACAGGUGCUGCAUGGCCGUCGUCAGCUCGUGUCGUGAGAUGUUGGGUUAAGUCCCGCAACGAGCGCAACCCUCGCCCUUAGUUGCCAUCAUUUAGUUGGGCACUCUAAGGGGACUGCCGGUGAUAAGCCGGAGGAAGGUGGGGAUGACGUCAAGUCUUCAUGGCCCUUACGGGCUGGGCUACACACGUGCUACAAUGGCGGUGACAGAGGGCUGCUAGGCCGCGAGGCCAUGCUAAUCCCUAAAAGCCGUCUCAGUUCGGAUUGCACUCUGCAACUCGGGUGCAUGAAGUCGGAAUCGCUAGUAAUCGCAGAUCAGCACGCUGCGGUGAAUACGUUCCCGGGUCUUGUACACACCGAGUCGUGGGAGGC